ACUCAAAGGAAUUGACGGGGACCCGCACAAACGGUGGAGCAUGUGGUUUAAUACGACGAUACGCGUGGAACCUUACCCAGACUUGACAUGUUUUAGAAAUCCUUAUGAAAGUUUGGACCCCUAGCAAUAGGCUAUUACACAGGUGUUGCAUGGCUGUCGUCAGCUCGUGUCGUGAGAUGUUGGGUUAAGUCCCGCAACGAGCGCAACCCUUAUCAUUAGUUGCUACCUCUGUCUUCGGACAGAGCGCACUCUAACGAGACUGCCGCUGAUAAAGCGGAGGAAGGUGGGGAUGACGUCAAGUCAGUACGGCCCUUACGUCUGGGGCUACACACGUGCUACAAUGGCUGGUACAAAAGGUUGCAAUACCGCGAGGUGGAGCUAAUCCCUAAAACCAGCCUCAGUUCAGAUUGCAGGCUGCAACUCGUCUGCAUGAAGCUGGAAUCGUUAGUAAUCCCGUAUCAGACACGACGGGGUGAAUACGUUCCCGGGUCUUGCACACACCGCCCGU
rnacentral:rRNA from 1 species